UGGCUCAGGACGAACGCUGGCGGCGUGCCUAAUACAUGCAAGUCGAGCGGAUCUUUGGGAGCUUGCUCCCAAAGAUUAGCGGCGGACGGGUGAGUAACACGUGGGCAACCUGCCUAUGAGACUGGGAUAACUCCGGGAAACCGGGGCUAAUACCGGAUAAUUCUUUUCUACUCAUGUAGGAAAGCUGAAAGAUGGUUUCGGCUAUCACUCAUAGAUGGGCCCGCGGCGCAUUAGCUAGUUGGUGAGGUAACGGCUCACCAAGGCGACGAUGCGUAGCCGACCUGAGAGGGUGAUCGGCCACACUGGGACUGAGACACGGCCCAGACUCCUACGGGAGGCAGCAGUAGGGAAUCUUCCGCAAUGGACGAAAGUCUGACGGAGCAACGCCGCGUGAGUGAUGAAGGUUUUCGGAUCGUAAAACUCUGUUGUUAGGGAAGAACAAGUACC
rnacentral:rRNA from 1 species